rnacentral:tRNA from 52 species
GGAGGUGUGGCAGAGUGGUCGAUUGCACCGGUCUUGAAAACCGGCAACGGGCAACCGUUCGUGAGUUCGAAUCUCACCGCCUCCGCCA